GAGGGCAAGUCUGGUGCCAGCAGCCGCGGUAAUUCCAGCUCCAAUAGCGUAUAUUAAAGUUGUUGCAGUUAAAAAGCUCGUAGUUGGAUUUCGGGAUGGCCCGGCCGGUCUGCCGCAAGGUAUGUUACUGGCCGAGCUGUUCUUCUUCGCAAAGACUGUGUGUGCUCUUAACUGAGUGUGCUCAGGAUCUGUGACGUUUACUUUGAAAAAAUUAGAGUGUUCAAAGCAAGCCAGCGCUUGAAUACAUAAGCAUGGAAUAAUGGAAUAGGACUUUGGUUCUAUUUUGUUGGUUUCUGGAACCUUAGUAAUGAUUAAGAGAGACAGUUGGGGGCAUUCGUAUUUCGUUGUCAGAGGUGAAAUUCUUGGAUUUACGAAAGACGAACUACUGCGAAAGCAUUUGCCAAGAAUGUUUUCAUUAAUCAAGAACGAAAGUUAGAGGAUCGAAGACGAUCAGAUACCGUCCUAGUUCUAACCAUAAACGAUGCCAACUAGGGAUCAGAGGGUGUUAUUGGAUGACCCCUU
rnacentral:rRNA from 1 species